rnacentral:rRNA from 1 species
UCAAGUUAUUAAGGGUGCAGGGCGGAUGCCUUGGCACUAGGAGCCGAUGAAGGACGUGAUAAGCUGCGAUAAGCUUCGGGGAGUUGCACGUAAACUUUGAUCCGAAGAUUUCCGAAUGAGGAAACUCACUUAGAGUAAUGUCUAAGUAUCAUUAAGUGAAUACAUAGCUUAAUGAGGGGAACUCAGGGAACUGAAACAUCUAAGUACCUGAAGGAAGAGAAAGAAAUUCGAUUCCGUAAGUAGCGGCGAGCGAACGCGGAUUAGCCCAAACCAAUAAAGUUUUCUUUAUUGGGGUUGCGGACAUAUCAUAACGAAGAGGUAUCGUAAUUGAAGAGGUUUGGAAAGACCCACCACAGAAGGUAAUAGUCCUGUAUGUUAAACGAGAAGACUUUAGAUAUGAUCCAGAGUACCACGGGACACGUGAAACCCUGUGGGAAGCAGGAGGGACCACCCUCCAAGGCUAAAUACUACCUAGUGACCGAUAGCGUAUAGUACCGUGAGGGAAAGGUGAAAAGAACCCCGGGAGGGGAGUGAAAUAGAACCUGAAACCCUGCACUUACAAGCUGUGGAAGCACAUUUCUUGUGUGACCGCGUACUUUUUGUAGAACGGGCCAACGAGUUACGUUAAGUAGCAAGGUUAAGCACUUAAGGUGCGGAGCCGUAGCGAAAGCGAGUUUUAACUGAGCGUUCAGUUACUUGACGUAGACCCGAAACCGGGCGACCUACCCAUGAGCAGGAUGAAGCGAAAGUAAAAUUUCGUGGAGGUCCGAACCCACGAGCGUUGAAAAGCUCGGGGAUGACUUGUGGGUAGCGGUGAAAUUCCAAUCGAGCCCGGAGAUAGCUGGUUCUCCCCGAAAUAGCUUUAGGGCUAGCCUCAAGGUGAGAGAUACGGAGGUAGAGCACUGAAUGUCCUAGGGGGUAUUGCACCUACCGAAGACUAUCAAACUCCGAAUGCCGUCAUCUUAUACUUGGGAGUCAGACUGUGGGUGAUAAGAUUCAUAGUCGAAAGGGCAACAGCCCAGAUCGUCAGCUAAGGUCCCUAAAUGUAAGUUAAGUGGUAAAGGAUGUGGGAUUGCACAGACAACCAGGAUGUUGGCUUAGAAGCAGCCACUCAUUCAAAGAGUGCGUAAUAGCUCACUGGUCGAGUGAUCCUGCGCCGAAGAUUUCCGGGGCUAAAACUUACUACCGAAGCUACGGCAUCAGUAAUGAUGGGUAGGGGAGCUUCCCAUACGGGUUGAAGCAUGACCGUAAGGACAUGUGGACAGUAUGGGAGUGAGAAUGUUGGCAUGAGUAGCGAGAUGUGGGUGAGAAUCCCACAGGCCGUAAACCCAAGGUUUCCAGGGGAAGGUUCGUCCGCCCUGGGUUAGUCGGGACCUAAGCUGAGGCCGAAAGGCGUAGGUGAUGGACAACAGGUUGAUAUUCCUGUACUACCGAUAACCGUUUGAGAGAAGGGAUGACACAGUAGGAUAAGCUAAGCACACUGUUGGUUAUGUGUGCCCAAGCAUUGAGGCAGUCAAAGUAGGCAAAUCCGCUUUGAUAAUGCUGGGAUGUGAUGGGGAGCGAAAUUUAGUAGCGAAGUAGCUGAUUUCACACUGUCAAGAAAAGUCUCUAUCGAGGUUAAAGGUACCCGUACCGCAAACCGACACAGGUGGGUGAGGAGAGUAUCCUAAGGCCAGCGAGAGAACUGUUGUUAAGGAACUCGGCAAAAUGACCCCGUAACUUAGGGAUAAGGGGUGCCACCAUCAGGUGGCCGCAGAGAAUAGGCCCAAGCGACUGUUUACCAAAAACAUAGGUUUCUGCUAAGUCGCAAGACGAUGUAUAGGAGCUGACGCCUGCCCGGUGCUGGAAGGUUAAGGGGAUCUGUUAGAGCAAUCGAAGCAGUGAACUUAAGCCCCAGUAAACGGCGGCCGUAACUAUAACGGUCCUAAGGUAGCGAAAUUCCUUGUCGGGU